rnacentral:rRNA from 1 species
AGUGGCGGACGGGUGAGUAACACGUGAGAAUUUGCCUUUAGGAGGGGGACAACAGCUGGAAACGGCUGCUAAUACCCCAUAUGCUUUCGAGUGAAAUGGAUUUCCGCCUGAAGAGAAGCUUGCGGCUGAUUAGCUUGUUGGUGAGGUAAUGGCUCACCAAGGCGACGAUCAGUAUCUGGUUUGAGAGGACGAUCAGACACACUGGAACUGAGACACGGUCCAGACUCCUACGGGAGGCAGCAGGGGGGAAUUUUCCGCAAUGGGCGAAAGCCUGACGGAGCAAUACCGCGUGAGGGAUGAGGGCCUAUGGGUUGUAAACCUCUUUUUUCAGGGAGGAACAAAAUGACGUGUACCUGAAGAAUAAGCAUCGGCUAACUCCGUGCCAGCAGCCGCGGUAAGACGGGGGAUGCAAGUGUUAUCCGGAAUCACUGGGCGUAAAGCGUCUGUAGGUGGUUAAGUAAGUCAACUUGUUAAAUCUUGAGGCUCAACCUCAAAAUCGCAGUCGAAACUGCUUGACUAGAGUAUAGUAGGGGUAAAGGGAAUUUCCAGUGGAGCGGUGAAAUGCGUAGAUAUUGGAAAGAACACCGAUGGCGAAGGCACUUUACUGGGCUAUUACUAACACUGAGAGACGAAAGCUAGGGUAGCAAAUGGGAUUAGAUACCCCAGUAGUCCUAGCUGUAAACAAUGGAUACUAGAUGUU